CGUGUGCUGCUUGCCACGGUUUCAGAGCACAAUUUAUUCUUGGCAUCCUCAUGGAUGCAGAAGAGUCAAGGCACAACUUUCGAGAGAAAGAAAGACCAUAGCAUUCAUAGGUCUGAAAGUUGUAGAGUUCCCAUACUUGGAAGUUUAUUCUUUUUAAGUUUUCUUUUCUCCCAAGAUGUACAAAAAUAAAAGAAUUGACUUGUUUGCCUCUGCAAUGGAUUGCUUGCAAGGUUCUUGCCUUUAAAAAAAAAAAAAACUCUCAUUAAAGUGAAUUCCACAUGCGCAAGCACUGUAUCAACCCACCCCCCCAACCCCUGCGUCUCAAGUAGGGUCUGACACUACUGUCUCCAAAGGGAUGUAGAGCUGAGAAUUAAAAGACCAUUAUUACAGCAAUAAUAGUGAGUUUUCCUCUGUACCCUCCUGUCUCUAUUCUGGUUUGUUUGUGGGAGGUCAAUGGGUUAUCUAAGUCCCCACACAGGACUGUAGGAACUUAAGUGUAGUUCUUUACUGGAAAGUUUUAUUUUUAUUUUCUAAAGAGUUUGUCCUAGGGAUUACUCCAGCUCUCAGACCAACAUAAUCUUCUCUUAGAAUGUUCAACUGGGAUCAAUUCUUUAGUUGCUGCCUAGCAGUUUUGGGGUAAAUGGGGAAGAGUUAGUGGUUCGCUGGACUGGGUUUUCUUUAAUCCAUCCAAAUAGCCCAUCUAUAAUGUAAGCAAGUAGAGGUACUUGUGAACCACAUGGAGUUCUACACUUCUGCAAUCUCCAGAUCCUGGACUUCUGUUUAGUACACAUGUCUACCUGAUGCUGUUCUUAGGUUCAUGUCCACAAGGCUAAGAAAAGAGGAUGAAAGAUCUGAACAGUGAAAUCAUGUGAUGCUGGUCACAAGCUAGGCUGCCAAGUUCUGAGGCCAUCCUCGUAGCACCCCGGUGACAGGGACUUCUGUACUAUCAUAAGACACAGGAGAACACCAUUGCCUAGAUCGCUCUUAAAACAAGCAAAUAAUUUCUCAAUUAAGGUCUUUUUGACCUGGUGCUAUGAUAUAUGAACAACUGGAUUCCAUUUUAAAACAACCAGGACAGCAUUCUGGGAUUGAGAAGCCAAGUGCUAGUUUGUCACAGUCCAGCUUUAGAAAGGUCUAAAGGAAUUUAACAGAGUUGAUCUUGGCUCUUUGAUAAACACACUAAUGCUCAGUGCUCUGGAGACCACAUAGCUCCUCUUCUCCAUUAUUGGUCCAAAAUGACCAUCAAAGCACAGGUGAAAUGAAAUGGAAAGGAAAGGUUUUCCCUAUUUUUCUCAUAAAUGAAGUAGCUGCAACAUUUAACAAUGGCUUAAAACAAAAAGGAAUAGAAAAGACUGCUUUUUGUCAAAAUGCUGAAGGAGAAGCCAUGAGAUGAGAUGACUAAGCCCUUGUAAGACAGGACCACUUCAGAUCCUAUAGCUAUAGGACCCUACUGACUGAAGACAAGGUGGAUCUUAGCUAAUAGGAUCCUCCCAGGGUUGUCAAGCGGGAUCUGGAGAGUAUGUGAUAUAAGACAGGCACCCAACAGUCAGGAAUGUCUUCCCGGUAAGGGCUUUGGGUAAAACUUACUGCUCAACAAAGUUUGCAUAGAAAAUGACCUCGAAAGGCAGAAUCAGUGUGUCCUUGGUUAGUGAAGAUGGGUUCUCUUGUAAAUAAUGAAAACAACUUCUCCCUCUGAUACAAAGCCCUGGCAGGGUAGCCAGAUGCCCAUUCAGACUUGGAACUGCCCAGACAGUAGACAGAGAAAGUCUGCGCACACACCUUCUCUGGUCUCUGGGAUCCAGGAGGUCAGCGAGCAUCCCCUCCCUUCCUAAUUCAGUCCCAUCUUACCUUCUCCAUCGGACCCCUGGUGGCCCCAUAUCACACCACAUUGACCCAGGAUUCCCGUCUACAGUGACUCUUUUUAUACAUGCUUAUUAUUAUCUUCUGACUCACUGCGAAAUCUAUUACCUAUAAUGUUGUCACUGGUUCUCCUACCUAAGCAUGUUCCCUCCAUCGGGAGAGAAAUUUGUCUUAAUUGCGUGUGUCCUCAGUUUCCAGAGGAGAGUGUGGUAAGCACCCUAAGUACAGAGAGUCUCAGCUAUGACAUGAGCUCUCUGCCUGCAUAGCAUCACACAGUCUGCUUGGCAAACUGGCAGCUCCAGCUCCCUUCCUGCUCUCUGUACAGACAAGAAACCAGCUCAGACCUGCAAGGGAUCUACCCAUAAGUGUUUUGACUUUGGGGAAAAUGUUGGUGUUGGUCAGUUUUUUUAAAAUUGUUGUUCUUAUUGUUCCCUAUGCCUUCUCAAACUCUAACUUGCAGUCAAAACAAAUUCUAAAACUUGGGGAAAGUGACUUUGAGCACCUGGCAGGGUGCUCGCUUCAUCUCCCCCAACAAACCCUGUGAGCCUUUGUGUCCUGGAGACUUCAGACAAAGUACAAGAAGAAAGAUGUGUUUAUCAGUCCUAGCUCUGUGUCCCUUGAGAGGACAAGAUUCUGUCUCAAGGAGACAGCUCUUUCAUGGAGGAAAACAAUGUAUGGAGCGUUUAAUUAUGUGUGUAUCGGUGGCUGGGAAGUUCUUAGAAGGGUCACUGGGCACAGCAGGGCCUGGAUCCAUCUGCCACCACAGCAUCAAGACAAGCAGAGUCUCUAAGCACAGUAUGUGAAGAAACAGGGUUGUACUUCUAGAAUCGGAUUAUGCUGAGGGUCCCCUACUGUAAAGGAACCCAUUCCUAAACAUAGAAUUAAACAUGUCUUCUGAAGCUCCACUUCUCAGGUGGAAUAAUGGUGGCUCUACAUUGUGACUCGGGAUUCAAUGCCAGGCAGAUGGAAGCCGAACCUUGCCUUGAGAAGGCACAGUUCAUACUGCCACCAACAAACUCAAUCCAACUAAACAGGCAUGCGUGCCUUCCACCACCACAGCCCUCCGACCGUCCUCCAUGCUGAGAUGUCAAUGUGUCAAGCCAGCACUGUGGCAAUUCAGACUGGCCAUGGGACACAACAGCAUCCCUUUGCCCUGGAACUAACCUCUCCAGCUGGUUCUCUGUGAGGCUCUUCCAUGCAUAUGUCACAUACGUAACAAUGUCAUGUGACCCUCAACGUCAAGGUGCUGAUAUUCUCAGUGAGAAGACCCAGAGCUUUGCUGUGAACUGAGAAUCAUGACAGUGCUUCCGGAGAGGGUUCUCAGAGCAUUAGAGUAGGGAACUUCACCACUGCUAUGUCACUAACUGCCCGUGCUUACCAGAGAACUUCCUUAAGGUUUUUACCUGCUUACCUGCCUCUCAUGUUCACUCUUCAGAACACAACAGUUGUGUGGAGACUUUGAGAUUUAACAGGGUACACUUUAUCACAGUAAAAGACACCUGGAAUACUUCUGGAUACCCAGGUUCGACACCAGCACCAACUCCUCCAAAAGCUUAUCAUAAGAUCUCAAGAAGGUCAACUGCUGUGAACACAUAUACACAGGUGGCAGGACCAGAUCUUCUAAUUCUGAUGACUCCCCAGGGAGUUGAAUCUUCUCAGAGUCUAUCUCCCAGGGCAUAUGUGUGAAAGUCAUCACAGGGCCAAUGCUACUUUUCAUUUGUUCUGUUUUUUGUGGUUUUGUUUUUGUUUUCUUUUUCUAUUCCAACACUCCACACAAACAGCAGUACAAGUGGAUACAUGCUUUCAAGGUUCGUUGUGAAAUAAGGAAUGGGAUGCAGGAGAAUUAUGGGAUGUAAAACGGUAGUCUAAAUGCCUGGUGUAGAAAGCAGAUUUUAAUCUUUUUAAUAAACUUGUAAACUC
rnacentral:lncRNA from 1 species